AAUUACCAGACCUAACAACAAAAAUGGAGAAUAUGAUCAGCUACGGAAACAAUAUGAACAUCUACAAGGCGUGUAUGAAAACAUAUGCCACGCAAUGAACAAAGGAAGCGGAAGUCAGUAUCUGGGCCAAAUAGAGAGUGAUGCAGCCAGAUACAGAGCAGAGAGGAAUAAUGCACGAUUGCAAGUUCAAGAAAUGUCUGAUAAAUUAAACUGGUACAAAAGUGAACCUCAAAAUGCCAGUCCAGAAUAUAGAUAUACAGGGAAAAGAUCUAAGCCUCGUUAUGGGAAAAAGUACUAUUAGGCGAAUAUGAAAGUUACAGUUAUAACAAAAGGAACUAGUGCGAGAUUAUGAACCUAGAAGUUGUAUGAAUGAUAAAUUGUAGACUGAAUCACAAAGAGACAUAUAUUAAAAAGUAGAGUGUUUUACAUAAUGUAUAUUUUGAUACGUACAAGACAUUUAAUAGCAGUUUGUGCAUGAUUGUAAGGAUACAAUGGCAUAGAAUAAACACGUUUUUUGCAAUA